rnacentral:misc_RNA from 1 species
GUGCUGGUGGGCUUUCACUGGUCUAACACAGAUGAUUCUUGAUGGUUAUUUUGUUUUCUCUCCUGAGUUUUACAAGGAGAAGACCUCUUUUUAUCUGGCUGAAGUUUGUGAGUACGUCUGCGUUUUCUUUUUCUGUUGCAUCAAAUUUAGUUAACAGUGGAGGCGAUAUUAGAACAAAGCACUCUGAAUAAAUGCUGACAGGGAAAGAGUACAGCAAAGGUGAUUCAAGAUAU